rnacentral:rRNA from 1 species
AGUUGAUCCUGGCUCAGGAUGAACGCUGGCGGCGUGCUUAAUACAUGCAAGUCGAACGGAGAUAUUCGCUGAGGCGAGCUUGCUCAAUUCUGAAAUAUCUAGUGGCGGACGGGUGAGUAACGCGUGGGUAACCUGCCUUACACAGGGGGAUAACAGUUAGAAAUGACUGCUAAUACCGCAUAAGCGCACGGUAUCGCAUGAUACAGUGUGAAAAGAUUUAUCGGUGUAAGAUGGACCCGCGUCUGAUUAGCUAGUUGGUGAGGUAACGGCCCACCAAGGCGACGAUCAGUAGCCGGCCUGAGAGGGUGAACGGCCACAUUGGGACUGAGACACGGCCCAAACUCCUACGGGAGGCAGCAGUAGGGAAUAUUGGACAAUGGGGGCAACCCUGAUCCAAGCGACGCCGCGUGAGUGAAGAAGUAUUUCGGUACGUAAAGCUCUAUCAGCAGGGAAGAAAAUGACGGUACCUGACUAAGAAGCACCGGCUAAAUACGUGCCAGCAGCCGC